rnacentral:snoRNA from 1 species
AGAGUAUCGAAGAUGAGUACAGUGAAAAUGUUAUCCUUGCACUUUGAUUGUCAGUGAAGAAAACUCACGGGGAAUAUUCCAUAUUCUGAGAUCUGCUU